GCUAAAGGGCAUAGGCAAGGACAAUAGACCUGGAAUUUGGAAGAAUUUAUACUCUGCUGAAGAAUUCCCAGACCACUCAUGAAAACAGCAGGUUGCCUAACUCACCAGAGAACACUAAACCCAAAGUAAGCCCUCCAUUGGAGCGCAAGCAAGUGAUUAGAGCAGGGCAUCUUAGCUGUGAGGGCAUGAGCCUAGACUCUCCACGUGAGGGACCCUGAAAUUAAAGUUAACGCUGGGAGUGAUUUCUUCUUGCUUCUAGAAACAGUUUGCUCUGACAGCUAUCUCAUUCUGGAGUGAGACGUAUGAUUGUUUUUGGCUGGAACAGUCCAUCCCCUGCCUCUGGAUUUCAGCCAGAAGCUAAAGGGAGGUACACAAGUCCCAGGGAGUUCUUCAGCUCUGGCAGAGCUGUAAGGACUUUCCCGUGGAGAAAUCACAGAGCAGCAACUGCACACUCCCCCCCACCCCCGCUCUUUAAAUAAGCAGUCCUCCAUUUUCUGGGAUCGUUCCCAAAUACAAUAUACUAUAAUUGUAUAUCUUUUUUUUCCUGCAAAGGUAAUUCAUUUUAAAAUUCCUUGAAUGCUCCUUAAUUUUAAUAUCUUUUCAAAUACCUUUCUACCAAUAAAUUCAGUCAUUCAUUUAAAAUAUUAUUGUGGGAUUACGUUUUGUGAUUUUAGCCUGGAAAAUAUGGUCAAUAUACUACUAGUUCAUGACCUUCGUUUGGCCACCCAGCUGUGUCCCGAGAAGCCUCCCUCUGGAGGGGCUGCUUUAAUUGGGUACCACUGAAUUCAAGUGUGCUAUUGACAUUACUCUUAUCUGAUACAAAGGAAACACCUUCAGCCCUUGAUUUUCUUUUGUCUCUCUUUAUUUAACU
rnacentral:lncRNA from 1 species